UGGGGAAUUUUGGGCAAUGGGCGAAAGCCUGACCCAGCAACGCCGCGUGUGGGAUGAAGGCCCUCGGGUCGUAAACCACUGUCAGGAGGAAAGAAAAGUCGGCCGGAUAAUACUCGGUCGACCUGACGGUACCUCCAAAGGAAGCACCGGCUAACUCCGUGCCAGCAGCCGCGGUAAUACGGAGGGUGCAAGCGUUGUUCGGAAUUACUGGGCGUAAAGCGCGUGUAGGUGGUCGAGUAAGUCGAAUGUGAAAGCCCCGGGCUCAACCCGGGAAGUGCAUCCGAAACUGCUCGACUAGAGUCCCGGAGAGGAAGGCAGAAUUCCCAAUGUAGGGGUGAAAUGCGUAGAUAUGUGGAGGAACACCGAUGGCGAAGGCAGCCCCCUGGGUUAACACUGACGCUCAUGCACGAAAGCGUGGGGAGCAAACAGGAUUAGAUACCCAAGUAGUCCCUGAGCGGGCUGGCAAGGCGCAU
rnacentral:rRNA from 1 species